AUUGAACGCUGGCGGCAGGCUUAACACAUGCAAGUCGAGCGGGGGAAGGUAGCUUGCUACCGGACCUAGCGGCGGACGGGUGAGUAAUGCUUAGGAAUCUGCCUAUUAGUGGGGGACAACAUCUCGAAAGGGAUGCUAAUACCGCAUACGUCCUACGGGAGAAAGCAGGGGAUCUUCGGACCUUGCGCUAAUAGAUGAGCCUAAGUCGGAUUAGCUAGUUGGGGGGGUAAAGGCCUACCAAGGAGACGAUCUGUAGCGGGUCUGAGAGGAUGAUCCGCCACACUGGGACUGAGACACGGCCCAGACUCCUACGGGAGGCAGCAGUGGGGAAUAUUGGACAAUGGGGGGAACCCUGAUCCAGCCAUGCCGCGUGUGUGAAGAAGGCCUUAUGGUUGUAAAGCACUUUAAGCGAGGAGGAGGCUACUCUAGUUAAUACCUAGGGAUAGUGGACGUUACUCGCAGAAUAAGCACCGGCUAACUCUGUGCCAGCAGCCGCCGUAA
rnacentral:rRNA from 1 species